rnacentral:rRNA from 1 species
GAUGAACGCUGGCGGCAUGCCUAACACAUGCAAGUCGGACGAACAGUGGUGUUUCUUGUUGCUGACGCGUUAGCAGCGCGCAAGAACCUGCCCCGUGGAGGAGCACAAUAUCAGGAAACGGCUGCUAAUACACCCCAGGCCGAGGAGCAAAUGGAGGAAUCCGCCCGAUGGGUGGCUUGCGUAUGAUUAGCUAGUUGGUGAGGCAAUAGCUUACCAAGGCGAUGAUCAGUAGCUGGUACGAGAGGAUCAUCGGCCACACUGGUACUGAGACACGGACCAGACUCCUACGGGAGGCAGGAGUAAGGAAGACGCCGCAACGGGGGAAAGCCUAUCAGAGUAAUGGGGUGUGGAGGCAGAGGGCCCACGGGUCGUGAACUGCUUAAGCAGGUGAAGAAGCAAUGACGGUACCUGGUGAAUAAGCAUCGGCUAACUAUGUG